rnacentral:rRNA from 23 species
UACAACUUUCAGCAACGGAUCUCUUGGCUCUCGCAUCGAUGAAGAACGCAGCGAAAUGCGAUAAGUAAUGUGAAUUGCAGAAUUCAGUGAAUCAUCGAAUCUUUGAACGCACCUUGCGCUCCUUGGUAUUCCGAGGAGCAUGCCUGUUUGAGUGUCAU